GUCAUUGUCCAUCUCCUGGAAACUGGUGU
rnacentral:piRNA from 1 species